rnacentral:rRNA from 1 species
CGGCGGACGGGUGAGUAACACGUGGAUAACCUACCUAUAAGACUGGGAUAACUUCGGGAAACCGGAGCUAAUACCGGAUAACAUGUUGAACCGCAUGGUUCAACAGUGAAAGACGGUCUUGCUGUCACUUAUAGAUGGAUCCGCGCCGCAUUAGCUAGUUGGUAAGGUAACGGCUUACCAAGGCAACGAUGCGUAGCCGACCUGAGAGGGUGAUCGGCCACACUGGAACUGAGACACGGUCCAG